rnacentral:rRNA from 1 species
GAGUUAUCUGAACCUUCGGGGAACGAUAACGGCGUCGAGCGGCGGACGGGUGAGUAAUGCCUAGGAAAUUGCCCUGAUGUGGGGGAUAACCAUUGGAAACGAUGGCUAAUACCGCAUGAUGCCUACGGGCCAAAGAGGGGGACCUUCGGGCCUCUCGCGUCAGGAUAUGCCUAGGUGGGAUUAGCUAGUUGGUGAGGUAAGGGCUCACCAAGGCGACGAUCCCUAGCUGGUCUGAGAGGAUGAUCAGCCACACUGGAACUGAGACACGGUCCAGACUCCUACGGGAGGCAGCAGUGGGGAAUAUUGCACAAUGGGCGCAAGCCUGAUGCAGCCAUGCCGCGUGUAUGAAGAAGGCCUUCGGGUUGUAAAGUACUUUCAGUCGUGAGGAAGGCGGCGUCGUUAAUAGCGGCGUUGUUUGACGUUAGCGACAGAAGAAGCACCGGCUAACUCCGUGCCAGCAGCCGCGGUAAUACGGAGGGUGCGAGCGUUAAUCGGAAUUACUGGGCGUAAAGCGCAUGCAGGUGGUUUGUUAAGUCAGAUGUGAAAGCCCGGGGCUCAACCUCGGAAUAGCAUUUGAAACUGGCAGACUAGAGUACUGUAGAGGGGGGUAGAAUUUCAGGUGUAGCGGUGAAAUGCGUAGAGAUCUGAAGGAAUACCGGUGGCGAAGGCGGCCCCCUGGACAGAUACUGACACUCA